rnacentral:rRNA from 1 species
AACGCGAAGAACCUUACCAAGGUUUGACAUGCAGGGAAAAGCCGUAGAGAUACGGUGUCCGUAAGGGUCCUGCACAGGUGGUGCAUGGCUGUCGUCAGCUCGUGUCGUGAGAUGUUGGGUUAAGUCCCGCAACGAGCGCAACCCUUAUUCGUAGUUGCCACCCGCAAGGGGGAACUCUACGAGGACUGCUCCGGAUAACGGAGAGGAAGGUGGGGAUGACGUCAAGUCAGCAUGGCCUUUAUGUCCAGGGCUACACACGUGUUACAAUGCACGGUACAGACUGUUGCGAACCCGCGAGGGGGAGCUAAUCGGAGAAAACCGUGCUCAGUUCGGAUUGCAGUCUGCAACUCGACUGCAUGAAGCUGGAAUCGCUAGUAAUGGCGUAUCAGAUCGACGCCGUGAAUACGUUCCCGGGCCUUGUACACACCGACUGUAC